AGCCUCCGGAGUGCUGAUUUCAGAGGUGUGUGCCGCCACGCCCGCGCCCCUCUUUUUCUUCCUCCAGUGAUGUCUGACUUGAGCUUCAAGCCUCAGAUACCCAGAGGGCCCCGCAGACUCAGGCCCCCUGUCCAAAGCACACCGCUAGUGCCUGUGCCGCCGCCUCCCAGCCCGCUGGCGUGAAUGCGCCAGGUUCCUCCCAGCGCAGCACAGACCAGUGACCCCAUUGUCUGCCACCCGCGCCGCGCCAGCCUCCCUCUCGCUGCGCCCCUGCAUAGUUGGCAUUUUUCUCCCCCCCAUCACUUGACUGGCUCUAUUCAAGGGGCCGAGCUGGCAUCGGGUGUGGGAUGGGGGGCCGUCAGAGCCCCUUCCUGGCUCAGAGCACUGCUAUCAGAUGGCCGUGCCGUGGGGCGGGCGGUGAGGGACAGAGCUCCCCCAGGGCACUAUCGAGUCCCAUGCUGAAUUUUCUACAAGGUGUCCCUGGCUGCUUCGGUGAUUUGUUUUUAGUAAUAGGGAUUGGGGCCAGGGCCUUUGCGUGGAACUAUGUCCCCAGCCCCUUCGUUUAUUUUGAGACGGUCUGGCCAAGCCACUACGUCGCCCAGGCUGGGCUUGAACUUUUCGACCCUCCUCCCUCAGCCCCGCACAGUACUGGGAUGUUUGGUGAUGUUUUGAAAUCCUGGGCCUCGGUUCCUUGCUGAUAGUGAUGGGGACUGGUCCAGUCUCUGCCAGGAGGCCUGAUGAGGCUCCAUGUCCACAGGACAGGGACAGGCCAGUCAUUUCCCUUCCCCAGCGAAGGCGCAGCCCAGUUCCUGGCAGCACUGAAGGUGUGGGGCAGGGUCUGGGUCUGGUGCUGGGUCCUUCCUCUGCUGUGACUCACCCAGCUGCUUCAUCCUACUGAGCUCCAGAUUCCUGUCCAAGCUGGGCUCAAACUUGAGAACCUCCUGCCUCAGCCUCCCAGAAUUCUGUGGUUAUAGGUGUAUGCCAACCCCCUCUGGCUGUUACACAUCUCCCCACAGUGCUAUCAGCUGGGGACCACGAUAGUCAUGAAGAUUAAUUCCUGUGCUGCUUCUAAGAUUUCUGUAGCUUCACCUCUUGUUUUGAGAUCACUGAUCCAUUUUGCGCUGAUCGUGGUAUUUGGUGCCAGGUGAGGCUCGGCAUCACAUUUUGCCUGUGACGGGCCCGUCAUCCCAGCACCUUUUCUUCAGUUCUUUGUCCUUGCUGGCUUGGUGCUAUUGUCAGAACUCAGCUAACCCUAACCGAGCGUUAUUUCCGAAUCCCCUUCUGCCUCCAGCUUCCAGCCUGACCUGCCCCAGGCCCACCCACCCCUGCCCACGGCAGCUCUGUAAUAGGUGUUGAAGCCAGGAAAUGUGAGUCUGACUCGGUCCUUCAUUUCAAGGGCAUUUUGGUUAUUUUGGGUCCCUCGUUUCUGUACAAAUUUUAGGGUCGAUUUAUCAGUUUCUACAAAAAAGUGCGUCUGGGAUUUUGAAGGGAUUGGGUUCAAUUUCUUUCAACAACAUUUUAUGCUUUUCAAGUGCAGGUUUUGCACUUCAUUAAAUACAUUCCCAGGCUUUCACUGUUAAUGCUCAUGCCGGUGGGAUUACUGCCUUGACUCCAUUUUCAGAGUGCUCUUUGCUAGUGUGUAGAGACACACUUGAGUUCUGUUCGUAGAUCUCGUAACCUGCGACUUUAACGUACAAGUUUUAACACUGUACUUUUUUAGCAGAUUGCUUAGAAUUUUCCCCAUACAAGAUCAUGUCGUCCAUGAAUACAGAUAGUUUCAUUGCUUCCUUUCUACUCUGGACGCCACUUACUUCUUUUUCUUGCCUCACUGCCCAGCAGGGAGCCCUCAAAGCUGUGUCAGGACUGGGGACAUAGCUCAGUGUGAGCGCUUGCCCAGGGUGUGAGGUCCUGGGUCCCAUCCGCAGCAUGCAAAAUAAAGCUAAAGAAUAUUGAAUAGAAACGGUGAAAGCGAGGCAGGAGGAUCGCCACAAGUUCAAGGCCUGCCAGGACUACCCAGUGAGUUUAAGCCCAGCUUGAGCUAAUAGCAAGACCCUGUCGCAAAAAAAUAAAAACAGAAGAAGCCUGGGUCUGGGAGUGCUGUGGACGUGCUGGUGGCCUGUCUGUCCCCAGAGGGAAGCUCCCUGGGGCCGGGCUGGGAACAGUGAGGCCUUUGGGGCAGCACCAGGCUAGAGCUGGGCCCUUCCUGCCCAGCGGCAUGGUGGGAGGCCAGGGGGGCAGGGACUCCUGCAAAGCUUUGUCAUCGAAGUCCCCAUUUGACCUUGAGAGGGUGACUUCCCCACCUGCCCUCCAGGGCAGGACACCAACUGGAAUUGGAGCGGGGGUCUUUUCCCAGCUGCCCCACUCCCUUCGGGACACCCGUGCCUUGUGGGCCUGCAGCAGAACCCCAAGGUCCCCAGAAGAAAGCUGAGGAAGGAACUGAGCGGGUGCCACCAAGGCAUCUUCUGCUGACACCGCCCCAUCACUGCGUCACCCCCUCGGCCUCGUGCCGGGAGGGAGGCAGCCCCGGGGGAGGUGGGCAUCUGUUAGGUGAGGGCUCAGCUGCGUUCGCGCACGUGACGUGAUUGGAGUCUGUGUUGCCAGGACGAUGCCGCCUGCAGCUCUGCUGCGUGGUCCAGGCCUGGGCGAGAACAGAAUGUUCCCGAGAAGACAGGGAGCGUUUAUAGAGCUUCUCGACACGGGGCCUCCUCGGAAGCCAGAAAACCCAAGGUCCUUCCCGGAAGCGUUUUCUUUUCAGGAAUAGAAGUUGUGCCGGGAAAUGCCACGAGGCCAGGGAGCAGGACGGGUGGGUGGGACACAGGUGGGUCUCCUGGCACCGCCCUGCUGCCUUGCCAGAUGCAGGUGCGGCUCUGUGAUGUCACACCCUGUACUCACAGCCCCCUCCUCCAGCACCACCCCAAAGGAGCGAUUUCCCUUUGCUGUGCCAGCUGCAGUCGCGCUGGGCACUGUGCACACCAGCCCAGCCGUGGGCAGCCUUUCCUGCCCCUGCUGUCGAUCGCCCCUCCCUGGAGCAUUCCUUCCGUAGCGCAGGCGAGAAGUUUGUUCAGAGGGCCAGGCGUUACUGUUGGAGGCAUGACACAGAGCCACCCUUUAGAAGGAUGACCCAGGGCAGGAGACUGGACGCCGGGUGGCUCGCCUGCCUCGGCCUGCCCUGCCUUCCCUGCGGCUCAUUCUGGGUGGGGGCGGCGUGGCCUUUCCAGCUCCUUCCUCCUCCCGCUGCCUCUCUGGGUUGUGUGUCAGCGCCUGUCUUACAGAAUCAAGACAAAGGCGGUGAUUUCAUGAGUGCCUGGACUAGCAGCUCCAGCUCAGGAUUAGGACAGAUUCUAAUAAGGAUCGAGGGCAUUGUCUGUCUCUGGGAGCUUGGCCCCAGCAGGCUGGAGGGGGCCUGGCCACGCUCUGGAGCAGGUGCUUGGGUUUGGGCGGAGGACAAGCUGCCGCAGAGAGGAGUGGCUGUGAAAAGCACCGUGCAGAGGAUGUGGUGAUGGCCUUCUCCAGGUCAGAGACGGAGGACCGGAGGCAGUAGCUGCUGUGAGCCCCUCAGGACGCCCCGGAAGCUGUUGAGGCCCAGACGGUUGUGUGGCUCCCGCUGAGUGGCAGCGCCCACCAUCCCUCCGUCCUCCCCCUCCCCCCCCUCCCCCCAGCCUGGCCACGCAGCGGGGCUGACGCCCCGGGGGACACCAGCGUUGCGUUUACAUUUGGCUUAAAGGGAUGGACUCAUGAUUGGCUACAGGAAGAAACCUUUUUAUUUUUAAAUCUUGACCAACGGAAACCUUUUAUUUUUAUUUCUGACUCUUAUUUUUUUAAAAAUUUGCGCCUCGGUAUCCGGCUUCCCAGGAAGUUGUCCGAGCUCUGGUGCUUUAUUUAGGUCAUUUUUUAGGAAUGUGAAGAGGCCCGAUUGGCUGCUUAAACUGGAAAAGGAUGGUGAUUGGCUGGCUAGUGGGACAGGGUCCUGUCUGUGAUUGGCUGCAGGUGUUCUGCUGAUACCAACAGCUUCACUAUGCUGAAUGCAGAAAACAGGGUCUGGGACAUUGCUUGUUAUAUUUGACUUGAAAAAAAAGCAAUCAAGUGCGCUUUGCAAUAUUUAUUACACGAGGAGCUUGCUGCCGCCUUCA